UCCAUGAGGUUUGAUAAGAGACUAGUCUGUAAAUUCUGCUGGAGCAGCUUGCAAAGUCCAUGGCAGCAAACACAGGAGAAGUGCCUGACCACGUCGUGCGAGCAGCCGUCUCGCCUCGUGGCCAGUGAGGUCAAGGGCAGUGUUGACUAGUGACCUGGAUGUCCAAAUCAGUGGUGUUGCUUAAGCCACCUUCACGCCUCCAGGCCAUUGCAGACAYCAUAUUCAUCCUGGAGGCCCCCRGCAAGCACGUAUGGAACAACGCAUCAAGCAACACACCACCACGCUGGAACAGCCCCCGAAGCAACCCCGGAUCGGCACAGCCCACAGCUACCCCARGAUGUUUUUCCGGCAGGGAUAGCCAGAUCAGUGCCAGAUCAGGGGGCUGAUUGGAGUCUGCCACCGGCGACCCGUCGGUGCUCCUUCUCCCUCUCUCCCCCCCAGAUUUCAUUUCCUCACCCAUGGGAUUUGGGGGCUAAGUGCUGGUUAUACGUGUACAGGGAGGGGCUGAUUUGUGGCUGCCCAGCCUUGCKGCCCUGCUGAGGCUCUGUUUUUGCCCCUGGCAGCCUGCUCUGGUUAGAGAAGAUGGGGCUUUGCUGCAGGCUCYGAUGCCUGCGGCCUUGGACAAAUCUGAAAGCCUUGGACCGAUGCCUGGGAGCAGAGCUGGAGCCAGGGUGGGUGCAGAGCUGCUGGACCCUGUCCCUUUCCCUCCCUGCCUCUCUCUGUCCUGCUUUUCCCUGAUUCACCAUGGUUAAUGGGACAGACAGAGGGCUUCAGUUUUGUAUUCGAGGGAAACYAGAGUUUGCUUUUAGAGGAUUUUCAUCAGCUCAUCCCUUCCCUUCUCCCACUCGGUGCCCCAGCAGCCCACCAGGUACCACCUCCCUGGAGUGAGGUGAGGUCUCUCGGACCAAGCGCUGGGAGGAAGCACCCUCAGAAAUGUUUAUUAUUGCUGUUAAAUGAUAAGCUCCUUUUCUUUUUUUCCCCUUCCUUGCCUUCACUUUUGCCAUGGGGCUAGUGGCCUCUGCUGUGGUCUCCCCUGCUUUCUUUUUCCUGUUUUGAUCUCUAGCAAGACUUGCUGCCCUUGAAGGACAGGGUUAGCCCAGCAGGUUUUCACUGCUGAGCCACUGACUUGCGAUUCAGAGUGUGUGUCUUCCUCCAGGCCCUGCUGCAGACUCCCACCAUCGCCCCGGGUAGGUCGCCCAGGCUCGGGUACAUGUGGGGUUUUGGAGACCAAGCUGCUGUUCAGGUGUCUGCUUUC
rnacentral:lncRNA from 1 species